CGGACAGAAGGGAGCUUGCUCCCGGAUGUUAGCGGCGGACGGGUGAGUAACACGUGGGUAACCUGCCUGUAAGACUGGGAUAACUCCGGGAAACCGGAGCUAAUACCGGAUAGUUCCUUGAACCGCAUGGUUCAAGGAUGAAAGACGGUUUCGGCUGUCACUUACAGAUGGACCCGCGGCGCAUUAGCUAGUUGGUGGGGUAAUGGCUCACCAAGGCGACGAUGCGUAGCCGACCUGAGAGGGUGAUCGGCCACACUGGGACUGAGACACGGCCCAGACUCCUACGGGAGGCAGCAGUAGGGAAUCUUCCGCAAUGGACGAAAGUCUGACGGAGCAACGCCGCGUGAGUGAUGAAGGUUUUCGGAUCGUAAAGCUCUGUUGUUAGGGAAGAACAAGUGCGAGAGUAACUGCUCGCACCUUGACGGUACCUAACCAGAAAGCCACGGCUAACUACAUGCCAGCAGCCGCGGUAAUACGUA
rnacentral:rRNA from 1 species